ACGGGAGGCAGCAGUAAGGGAUAUUGCACAAUGGGGGAAACCCUGAUGCAGCAACGCCGCGUGAGGGAAGAAGGUUUUCGGAUUGUAAACCUCUGUUUUCAGUGAAGAAACAAAUGACGGUAGCUGAAGAGGAAGCCACGGCUAACUACGUGCCAGCAGCCGCGGUAAUACGUAGGUGGCAAGCGUUGUCCGGAUUUACUGGGUGUAAAGGGUGCGCAGGCGGGACUGCAAGUUGGAUGUGAAAUACCGGAGCUCAACUCCGGAGCUGCAUCCAAAACUGUGGUUCUUGAGUGAAGUAGAGGUAGGCGGAAUUCCGAGUGUAGCGGUAAAAUGCGUAGAUAUUCGGAGGAACACCAGUGGCGAAGGCGGCCUACUGGGCUUUAACUGACGCUGAGGCACGAAAGCAUGGGGAGCAAACAGGAUUAGAUACCCUGGUA
rnacentral:rRNA from 1 species